CAAUAGCGUAUAUUAAAGUUGUUGCAGUUAAAAGCUCGUAGUUGGAUUUGUGGUUUACGCAAGGCUUCCGUCCCUCUUGGUUUGUCGGUGUUGCCUGGCGUUGCCAUCUUUGGGUGGAAUCUGUGUGGCAUUAGGUUGUCGUGCAGGGGAUGCCCAUCGUUUACUGUGAAAAAUUAGAGUGUUCAAAGCAGGCAACCGCUCUGAAUACAUUAGCAUGGAAUAACGCUAUAGGACUCUGGUCCUAUUGUGUUGGUCUUCGGGACCGGAGUAAUGAUUAAGAGGGACAGUUGGGGCGAUUCGUAUUUCAUUGUCAGAGGUGAAAUUCUUGGAUUUAUGAAAGACGAACUUCUGCGAAAGCAUUUGCCAAGGAUGUUUUCAUUAAUCAAGAACGAAAGUUGGGGGCGUCGAAGACGAUCAGAUACCA
rnacentral:rRNA from 1 species